UACGUAGGGUGCGAGCGUUAAUCGGAAUUACUGGGCGUAAAGCGUGCGCAGGCGGUUCGUUAAGUCAGCUGUGAAAGCCCCGGGCUCAACCUGGGAACUGCGGUUGAAACUGGCGAACUAGAAUCUGGCAGAGGGGGGUGGAAUUCCACGUGUAGCAGUGAAAUGCGUAGAGAUGUGGAGGAACACCGAUGGCGAAGGCAGCCCCCUGGGCCAAUACUGACGCUCAGGCACGAAAGCGUGGGGAGCAAACAGG
rnacentral:rRNA from 1 species